GAUGAACGCUGACAGAAUGCUUAACACAUGCAAGUCAACUGUGGCGGACGGGUGAGUAACGCGUAAAGAACUUGCCUCACGGAUAGGGACAACAUUUGGAAACGAAUGCUAAUACCUGAUACUGUGAGAGAGCUUUGCGUCCCAUGAGCUAGUUGGAGAGGUAACGGCUCACCAAGGCGAUGAUGGGUAGCCGGCCUGAGAGGGUGAUCGGCCACAAGGGGACUGGGACGCGGGCCGUACUCCUACGGGGGGCAGCGGUGGGGAAUAUUGGACGAUGGACCAAAGUCUGAUCCAGCAAUUCUGUGUGCACGAUGAAGUUGUCGGAAUGUAGAGUGCUUUCAGUUGGGAAGCGGUACCAACAGAAGAAGUGACGGCUAAAUACGUGCCAGCAGCCGCGGUAAUUC
rnacentral:rRNA from 1 species